GAUGAACGCUGGCGGCGUGCUUAACACAUGCAAGUCGAACGGUGAAAGAGAGCUUGCUCUCUGGAUCAGUGGCGAACGGGUGAGUAACACGUGAGCAAUCUGCCCCUGACUCUGGGGUAACGCCGGGAAACCGGCGCUAAUACCGGAUACGACCAGGCGCGACAUCUCGCCUGGUGGAAAGAAUUUCGGUGAGGGAUGGGCCCGCGGCCUAUCAGCUAGUUGGUGGGGUAACGGCCCACCAAGGCGACGACGGGUAGCCGGCCUGAGAGGGCGACCGGCCACACUGGGAUUGAGACACGGCCCAGACUCCUACGGGAGGCAGCAGUGGGGAAUAUUGCGCAAUGGGCGAAAGCCUGACGCAGCGACGCAGCGUGAGGGACGAAGGCCUUCGGGUUGUAAACCUCUUUCAGCGGGGACGAAGCGAAAGUGACGGUACCCGCAGAAGAAGCACCGGCUAACUACGUGCCAGCAGCCGCGGUAACAC
rnacentral:rRNA from 1 species